rnacentral:lncRNA from 10 species
GUUAAGGUCCUCAAAGAAAUUGAGCUGGAAUUUAUAUUUAGUUUGUAGUUAAUUUGUAGGUUCAAUUGGGAAGAAUUGGUACCUUUAUGGUUUUUUUUGUUUUUGUUUGCUUGUUUACUUUGAGAUGGAGUCUCGCUCUGUCACCCAGGGUGGAGUGCAGUGGCGCAGUCUUGGCUUGCUGCAACCAACUAAAAAUACAAAAAUUAGCCAAGCAUGGUGGCACACACCUGUAAUCCCAGCUACUCGGGAGGCUGAGGCAAGAGAAUUGCUUGAACCUGGGAGGCGGAUGUUGCAGUGAGCCGAGAUUGCACCACUGCACUCCAGCCUGGCAAACAGAGGGAGACUCUGUCUCAAAAGAAAAAAAGAAAAAGAAAGUUGAGGCUUCCUGAAGCUACACACUACACACCCCACACCCCCAUCCACCACCCACCGAGUGGUAGAGUCCUGCAGCUCAGCAGACCACCUCCUCACCAAAACCUGUGCUUGCUCUCUUCUGGUAUGGAGGGACUGAAUCAAGGUCAGGUUCAGACCCAGCCUCUGAGGAGGGACCUGAACUGGCCUGGGGAGCUACACCUUGGGGGCUUUCUCAGGAGCCAGCAGAGAAGCCCCGGGCACUAGCCUGGGGAUGGAGCUGCAGCGAUGAGGACCGGGAGGCUGGAACUACCCCGCCUCACUCCCAGCGCACCUCAGCCCAGCCCAGCCCAGCCCAGCCCAGAAAGGGCCCAACCCUGUGAUUGGUCCUUGGGUACCUGUUGCCAGGAAUUGAGGCCAAGAAAAUGGGAAGGAAGGAAGGGAGUGAGUAGGUCCAGUGAGGACGGAGGUGAAAUUUAUAUCUCUGCCAGGGACUGGGGGCCUGCACCGCCAUGGACACCACCAGGUACAGCAAGUGGGGCUGGGGCAGCAGCUCAGAGGAGGUCCCUGGAGGGAGCUGGGGACGCUGGGUGCACUGGAGCCGGAGACCCCUCUUCCUGGCCCUGGCUGUCCUGGUCGCCACAGUCCUGUGGGCUGUGAUUCUGAGUAUCCUAUUGUCCAAGGCCUUCACGGAGCGCGCGGCGCUGCUCGGCUGCCAGGACCUGCUGAGGACAAACGGUGCGUGCAGAGCCGGACGCCUGGGCCCCAGGGGCAUGCGGGGCAGGAGCGUCUGAGACCCCGGAGAUGGAGUCUCGGGUGCGUGAGGGCCCUAUGGUCCCUGAGGCUGGCCCCGGGGUGGGGAAGGGGGACCCUGAGUCCUCCCAAGUGACCCGGCGGGCAUGCGUUUUGGAGCGGGGGUCGUUCCAGCCUCCAAGCAGACGGCGGCACUGGGUGCCCUGAAGGAGGAGAUCCGAGUCUG